UAUGUAAAUUCAAAGUGAAAGUGG
rnacentral:siRNA from 1 species